rnacentral:rRNA from 1 species
CCUGGUAGCUAUGGCGGGGGGUCCCCACCCGAUCCCAUCCCGAACUCGGAAGUUAAGCCCCCUUGCGCCGAUGGUACUUUGUCUUAAGGCACGGGAGAGUAGGUCGCCGCCAGGU